rnacentral:rRNA from 1 species
GAUGAACGCUGGCGGCGUGCCUAAUACAUGCAAGUCGAGCGAACAGACGAGGAGCUUGCUCCUCUGACGUUAGCGGCGGACGGGUGAGUAAUACGUGGAUAACCUACCUAUAAGACUGGGAUAACUUCGGGAAACCGGAGCUAAUACCGGAUAAUAUAUUGAACCGCAUGGUUCAAUAGUGAAAGACGGUUUUGCUGUCACUUAUAGAUGGAUCCGCGCCGCAUUAGCUAGUUGGUAAGGUAACGGCUUACCAAGGCAACGAUGCGUAGCCGACCUGAGAGGGUGAUCGGCCACACUGGAACUGAGACACGGUCCAGACUCCUACGGGAGGCAGCAGUAGGGAAUCUUCCGCAAAGGGCGAAAGCCUGACGGAGCAACGCCGCGUGAGUGAUGAAGGUCUUCGGAUCGUAAAACUCUGUUAUUAGGGAAGAACAAAUGUGUAAGUAACUAUGCACGUCUUGACGGUACCUAAUCAGAAAGCCACGGCUAACUACGUG